GGGUUGUAAACUUCUUUUAUAAAGGAAUAAAGUCGGGUAUGCAUACCCGUUUGCAUGUACUUUAUGAAUAAGGAUCGGCUAACUCCGUGCCAGCAGCCGCGGUAAUACGGAGGAUCCGAGCGUUAUCCGGAUUUAUUGGGUUUAAAGGGAGCGUAGAUGGAUGUUUAAGUCAGUUGUGAAAGUUUGCGGCUCAACCGUAAAAUUGCAGUUGAUACUGGAUAUCUUGAGUGCAGUUGAGGCAGGCGGAAUUCGUGGUGUAGCGGUGAAAUGCUUAGAUAUCACGAAGAACUCCGAUUGCGAAGGCAGCCUGCUAAGCUGCAACUGACAUUGAGGCUCGAAAGUGGGGGUAUCAAACAGGAUUAGAUACCCUGGUAGUCCACACGGUAAACGAUGAAUACUCGCUGUUUGCGAUAUACAGCAAGCGGCCAAGCGAAAGCGUUAAGUAUUCCACCUGGGGAGUA
rnacentral:rRNA from 1 species